UACGUAGGGGGCAAGCGUUGUCCGGAAUCACUGGGCGUAAAGCGCGCGCAGGCGGCUGUCUACGUCCGGGGUGAAAGCCCAGAGCUCAACUCUGGGACUGCCUUGGAUACGGGAUAGCUUGAGGAUCGGAGAGGCAAGGGGAAUUCCGCGUGUAGCAGUGAAAUGCGUAGAGAUGCGGAGGAACACCGAUGGCGAAGGCAGCCCCCUGGGCUAACACUGACGCUCAGGCACGAAAGCGUGGGGAGCAAACAGG
rnacentral:rRNA from 1 species